UACGAAGGGGGCUAGCGUUGCUCGGAAUCACUGGGCGUAAAGGGUGCGUAGGCGGGUCUUAAGUCAGGGGUGAAAUCCUGGAGCUCAACUCCAGAACUGCCUUUGAUACUGGCGAUCUUGAGUCCGGAAGAGGUGAGUGGAACUCCUAGUGUAGAGGUGGAAUUCGUAGAUAUUAGGAAGAACACCAGUGGCGAAGGCGGCUCACUGGUCCGGUACUGACGCUGAGGUGCGAAAGCGUGGGGAGCAAACAGG
rnacentral:rRNA from 1 species